UCAGAGGUAGUACAAGUCGUUACCACGGUUUCCGUAGGUGAACCCUGCGAAGGAUCAUUA
rnacentral:rRNA from 1 species